CCUACGGGAGGCAGCAGUGGGGAAUUUUGGACAAUGGGCGAAAGCCUGAUCCAGCCAUGCCGCGUGAGUGAAGAAGGCCUUCGGGUUGUAAAGCUCUUUCGGCCGGGAAGAAAUCGUGUGGGCUAAUACCCUGCAUGGAUGACGGUACCGGAAUAAGAAGCACCGGCUAACUACGUGCCAGCAGCCGCGGUAAUACGUAGGGUGCGAGCGUUAAUCGGAAUUACUGGGCGUAAAGCGUGCGCAGGCGGUUUGGUAAGACAGGCGUGAAAUCCCCGGGCUCAACCUGGGAACUGCGCUUGUGACUGCCUCACUAGAGUACGGCAGAGGGGGGUGGAAUUCCACGUGUAGCAGUGAAAUGCGUAGAGAUGUGGAGGAACACCGAUGGCGAAGGCAGCCCACUGGGCCGAUACUGACGCUCAUGCACGAAAGCGUGGGUAGCAAACAGGAUUAGAUACCCUGGUAGUCCACGCCCUAAACGAUGUCAACUAGUUGUUGGGGGGGUAAAACCCUUUAGUAACGUAGCUAACGCGUGAAGUUGACCGCCUGGGGAGUACGGCCGCAAGGUUAAAACUCAAAGGAAUUGACGG
rnacentral:rRNA from 1 species